GCGCCCGUAGCUCAACUGGAUAGAGUGCCAGGCUUCGAACCUGGAGGUUCCGAGUUCAAGUCUCGGCGGGCGCA
rfam:Omnitrophica WOR_2 bacterium RIFCSPHIGHO2_02_FTLL_68_15 rifcsphigho2_02_scaffold_51614, whole genome shotgun sequence.